rnacentral:rRNA from 1 species
AGAUUGAACGCUGGCGGCAGGCCUAACACAUGCAAGUCGAGCGGUAGAGAGGUGCUUGCACCUCUUGAGAGCGGCGGACGGGUGAGUAAUGCCUAGGAAUCUGCCUAGUGGUGGGGGAUAACGUUCGGAAACGGACGCUAAUACCGCAUACGUCCUACGGGAGAAAGCGGGGGACCUUCGGGCCUCGCGCCAUUAGAUGAGCCUAGGUCGGAUUAGCUAGUUGGUGAGGUAAUGGCUCACCAAGGCGACGAUCCGUAACUGGUCUGAGAGGAUGAUCAGUCACACUGGAACUGAGACACGGUCCAGACUCCUACGGGAGGCAGCAGUGGGGAAUAUUGGACAAUGGGCGAAAGCCUGAUCCAGCCAUGCCGCGUGUGUGAAGAAGGUCUUCGGAUUGUAAAGCACUUUAAGUUGGAGAAGGUUGUAACUUAAUACGUUGCAACUUUGACGUUACCGACAGAAUAAGCAACCGGCUAAACUUCGUGACCAGCAGCCG